AGUUGAUUUUCAGCUGGAGAUUUCAGCAGCAAUGGAGGGCUAAAUUGAGCUGUUAGCACUGUAACAGACAAAAAUACCCUUACUUUUAUUUAUUAUUUUACCAUUUUAUCCUUGAAAAUUAAACUAAUUUCUUUCCCAAUCUGCAGAAAACCCUGCUCUUCAACUCCUGCUCUUCAAUUGACACUCUUCCAAAACCCCACCAACAACAAGCAGACUUAAAGAAGCUCUGUUUUUCGACUCAUCCUAUCAAUCUUGUUCUCAACUUUGAUCUGGUAAGUCAAAACCCUUCUUUUUCCACUCUAUAUAUGUGUUUGAAUUGUAUCAAAGUAGUUUCUAUUUUUCCUUCUCAUCUUGUUCUUAGCUAAGAAAAUAAUAACUAUCUGGGUUCAUUUGUUUGUGCGUGAGGUAGAAAUAUUAAAGUAUAAAAGGCUUCCUUGUGACCACAUAUACUAACAUCCUGAAGGUAGAAAUAUUAGGAUUUUAUUAGAUAAUGGUAUACAGAGAAACCUGAGAUCAUACAACAGUAAUAGAAAAGAACGUGACGGGUUACCAGGAAAAGACAUUAUUAAAAAUAUAUCACAUAUAGGAGUCCAGGAUACCAAAGGCUUUACUGGCAGUGUCAUGACAUAACAUAAGCGAUUUUAUUUGAUAAUGGUUCUUUAAUACUUUUUUGAGGGAAGACUAUAGUUCACUACUGUCUAUAUUUGGCAAUUAUCAUUUAGCACCAAACAAAAUUACUACUUUAGCCAUACCUGUUUACUAUUGUUUGCCACUGAUCGGGUUGCUACUUUAGCCAUACCUUCUUUACAAAAAAUAUGGAUGAAAGUAUAAAAAAUAACCGCAUUGGGUUGCAAAUUUUUACCUGUCAUCUCUCUGAAUUUAUUUUUAGCUUCAUCUAUCUUUCUUGCUUUGCAUAGAGCACUAAUUGAGUGACUCCUACAAAUUGCACAAGGUCCAAUAGAAAACAUGCAGGAAAGUAAAACUCAAUCAUGAAUUAAUGAUCUACAACUAGUUUUACAGCCAGAAUGGGAAUGGGAACAAGAGAAUGACAAGCAACAUCACAAAUAACAUCCACAACUUACUUUCGAACAUUUUCAUCAUAGUCUAAAAGCCGAUCACAUAGGGUAGCUAGAAAAUUUAGAACAAUGUCAAAAUUAGCGAACUAACAUAAAUAACUAUAUAUUUUGAGAAAAGAAAAAUCAAAAGAAACUCACAGAUUAUUUGAGGAGCCUCAGGUCUAGAGGGAUCUGACAACAGACAGAUCUUAACAUGUUCGAGGACAGACAUUCUAACAUCGACAACUCUAUCAAUCAACCUCUUCAAAAAUUCUGAAAAUAUUGGCUGAAUUGUUUCACAUAUAUUAGCACCAGGCAGAGCAAAAAGGGAUCCAACCAAUCUCACAGCUCUUAAACGAGUGUCUUAUUGAUUAGCCUGCAUAUAUUGGAAUUUAUAAUUUAUAAACCUCAGAAACUGUCAAUCAACUCCAACCAUCUUUGAACUCAUUUUCCAAACUUAAGACUAAACUAUGACAAAUCCAUAAUAUGAAGGAAAGAAAAAGAAAAAGCCCUCAUUUUCACAAAGGUUGAACCUAAACUCUCCAAAACCACAAACAUUUCAUCCUCGAAAAGAUUAUAAGAAUUAUUUUAGAAUAUAAAAAAAUUCUCAAAAACAACAAAUAAAUAUGUCUUCAAAUGGACGACAAAAUCUUAAAGCAGUUAAGUAAUUAGUGGAAAUGAAAAAUAAUUUUUGUGCUCAUACCAACAGCUCUCCUGUGAGGUAUGUGACAACUCCUGACAGUAUCUGAGGAGCACAAUGAUAAAUGCCAUAGAUAACUUCAUGAUAGUCAAUUUCACUUUUUAUUAAUUGAUUAUCUCCAGACAUCACUGAAAUAAGAAUUUGUUUUAUGCCAGCUUCAAGUUUUUUUCUAAACACUGCUCUAUGACAUUCAUAGCAAGUCUCCUGGCAGCUUGAGUAACACCUUGAGAUUAUAGAUUCCAGAAAUCAAUUUCCUUCAGAAUUAUAAUUCCUGGGGGAUAAAAAUAAGAAGCCAUACAAUUUGUAAGCAAUAAGCCAAUAGCAAAUAUGAAAUUCUUACACUUUUAUUACGACCUAAUGCAGACAAUAUAACAAGUAAAAGAUCAUCUCGAACAUCUUCACUCUCUUUUAACACCACAAUCAUGAUUGUUUGCAUAGCUGAUAAAACACUUUCUGGAUGAUCAUCCCUGCAAUAUGUAGUUAACAUCAGUCCUCCAAUCCAAGAUAAUUCAAAACAAACAGGAAAAGGAUUUAAACAACAUGCAGAUUCUUACUAUAAAAGCAACUUAAGGGAAGAUGGAACUUUCAAGUACCAACCCAACCACAAGACAGACAUGCACACACAAAUAGAUAUGCUCAAGAUACUACAAUGAACAAAAAGAGGUUGCAGGCAUAUCUUAGCCACUGCACUAAAGUGAAAUACUAAGACCAAUAUCAUAUUGUACCAUAAAGCCAUUUCAAAAUUCUAUAUUCAACAAAAACAAAAGCACUCAUGUUACAUGCAACGCAUACUUUUUGGUAAGCAGAACCGAUGAGUAAACGGUUCUUGACAUUAAAUAAAUAAUGGAAUAAAACAUUAAAUAAAUAAUGGAAUAAAACAUACCUUACAACAGAAAAAAAUGUACUGAACAUUUCAUUAACCAAAUCAUCACAUUCAAGAUCCAACAUCACAACACAUGAUCUAUAUUUCGCAAGAGUCUCCAAAAUUACAACUAUCAAGUUAAAAAUAUCUUGUUAGGCAAAAUCCCAGAACUUCUCAUCAAAUCCAAAAGCUCCAACCCUUUAUUAGCAAGGCCAAACCUACAAUACCCACGAACGAAAAUCCCAAAACUAAACUCAUUCGGCAAGCAACCUUUCUCAGGCAUUUUAUCAAACAACUAUCAGGCAAGCAUUUAGAGACUAGCAAAUACUAACAAUAUUCAGAAGCACAAUAAUAAAAUGUAUUUAUCACCCAAUGCUAGGGUAGGAUCGCAUUCACUCACUGCAGCUUUUUCUUCUAUCUUCUCUUUUCUACAUCCAAAAAAUUUUGCAACAAAAAUUAGCAUAUAUAUGCUUCAAAUAGGAAAGGUCAAAAGAACUGCAUGGUGUUUCUGCAUCAGAAACUUGUGGUACUUGGCAAAAAUAGGUUAGGACAGCAAAUGUGAAAACAAACAAUAAUGAUGUUUAAUAACUUACCCUUCUUCACAUGCAUUGCUCUCUGCUAAAACAGCUAGCAAUGCUUACACGGCAUGCAGUGAAUGGGACAAGGUAAUUUUCUCUAGUUCCUCGGAAAAAGGUUUCUAAUAACUUGGGUUUUGUUUGGAUACCAAGAAAGUACAGUAGGCAAGACUCUUGAGGAAAUAAGCAAAAGCGAAAACGUAUAUAUACGAGUAUAGGAUUUGGAUGAAUGUUCUGAAUGGGAAAAAGUGGUGUAAUGCAAAAGGUAAUAUAAUGAGUUGUAAGGUAGACACGUAGGGCGACGUGGCAGUACAGGUUACAACGUGCCCUUCCUCUCACAUGCAGUGGACACAUGCAAAGGGUAAUAUUUGCUGGUUUUGAUUCGAUUUGAACGAAAUGUGCUAAUUAAAUGAACGAAAUAUUUACUUGUCGGGUCAAAUUGUCUUAGAGUGUCCUCCAAACAAAUAUCUUCUAUGGUCCAUCAAAAAAUGAGGAAAAUUUCCACCUUGAGUUGUCACAAAUACCUUACUAUGAAGGCAACCAAUAUAAUCUAUGCCAGCCAUCUUGGAAGAAAAGUUCUGAAAGCAGUAAUCCCAUCAAAGAGAUGAUAAUAAUCCAAUCUCAAAGGCAUUACUUAAAGGAAAAUGGGUGGUCAUGUGAUAGCCUGAAAUAGGGCCUAAUCGGAAUAGUGGUUUCGUAACCACAAAUCCGAAGUGAAAUAGUUUAAUUUUAUAAAUUUUUAUUAGUUACUGAUUGAUUGAAAUAUUGUGUGAAAAUAUGGAUAGGAAAUUUUAAUGCUUUAGUGCUUAAUUGAAUUUUUAGGACUAAAUUGAGAAAAAUGCAAAGUGUGUCUAAUUAGUGAUUAAAUGACUUAAUUGAAUUAUUGCAUGAAAUUGGAAGUGUUUAUGUGGCAAUUAGACCAUAAAUUAGUGUUAUGGACACAAAAGGGUAUUUCUAGAAAAAUAUCUAAGUAAUGGGUCAAGGGCAUUUUUGUCCAAAUUGGGUAAAAGACAAAAUAAAGAGAAAAUAAGUGUCCAUCUUCUUCAAAAAAAUCAGAAGCUUGCUGCCGAAAGUUUCAGGUUACCAUAGUCGACUAAAUUACAAAAAUAGUCGUUUUGCAUCCGAGGUAAGUUAUAUGUAAAUAAUAGUUAUAUUUGUAUAAAUUGUGAAUUAUAUUUGAUAUGUGAAUUAAUAUUGAAUGUGGAAGGAAAGUUGUUCAUGAAUUAUUCAAGUGAUAAAGUGUUGAAAAUAAAGUGUUAAGUGUAAAUUCCCGGUUGAACAUGAAAGUUGUUCAUGAAUUAUUCAAGUGAUAAAGUGUUGAAAAUAAAGUGUUAAGUGUAAAUUCCCGGUUGAACUUAGGAAUAGAAUUGGAUACAAGUGACAUGUCACUAGAGACCAGUGUUACAGUGUUACAGUGAGUCCCGGGUGCUGGGUGAUCUAGCAUGUGUUGCAGACACCUGACAGCUUGUGUGAGCAGACCCGUGGACAUUUCCAGUCUUAUUGAUCAAUGGUAGCUUCGGCUACAUUUCAGUGGUAGCUUCGGCUACAUAUCAGUGUGACACUUAUGUGCUAAAUCUCUACGUAUCCGUGUAUAUUCCAAGUGUUCAACGGGAUUAAUAAUGAAUUAAAGUGAAUAUGAAAUGUUAAGUGUGAAAAUGUAUAUGCAAGUGAAUUGGUAAGAUUGUGUAUGUGUAAGUGAUUGAAAUUGCUAAGAAAUGUUUUGAUUAGUUAUAUGUUAAAAGUGUUAAUUAUUAAUUGAGUAAUUAUUGUUUACAUGUAACUUACUAAGCUAUUUAUAGCUUACACAUCUCUUUCUUUCCUUUGUUUUAUAGUGAUUUGAACUUGAUCGAAUAGUGGACCGUCGGAGCUCGUAUCACACUAUCAUAACCAUCUCGGUAUUAUGUGCUUUUCAAAAUGUUUAAACUAUGGCAUGUAUAGAGUCUUAAUCAUUUUGAGCAUGUCCAAAUGAUAUGGCUAAUGUUAGCUAUUGAAGUAGUUAUUAAAGAAUAUGUUUUGGAGUUAUGUAUGUUUAAAUGGUAACUAAUUCAAAGAAGCAGUUUCUUUGACAGCAGUAGUGAUGUGAAUGUGAAAAAUCACCAUAAAUAGUAGAAAUGGAAUUAAAGGGUGAAUGAUAUAUAGAAUUAAAGCUUAUCAAGUCUAUUUUUACAUGAAAGAAACGGUGUAGGCAAAGGAAUUUUAUAUUUUGAGAUAUUUAAAUUUUAGUGAGACAGGGUCAGAAUGGUUUUUGAAGUCCCCUGUUCUAACUUUAGAAAAUCAUUAUAAAUUUUACAGAAAUAAUUAUAGGUCAUAAUUUAUAUGUUCAGAUUCCUUAGUGAGUCUAUUUUCAAAAUAAAUUAAUGGUAACCUUAUAUGAAUUCUGUACAAUUAGAUAUUUGAUUUUUAGCUCCAAGAGGUCAGAUCUGUCGAGCUGUGAAACAGGGGAUACUUUAAUGAAUAAACUGUACUAAUUUGCUAAGUCAAAAAUUCUGAAAAUUUUAUGGUAAGUAGGAAUAUGAGUCUAGUUUCAUGGAAAAUUUACGGAUUUAAAUUUUGAGUUUUGUAACUCAAGUUAUAAUUAAAUUAGUGACAGUUGCGCAGGUGGACAGUGUUGUUAUGAACAGUGAAUUUAAUUUUAAAAGUAAAUUUUUAUGCUCCGAAUCGGUAAGUUAAAUUGGAUGACAUCUCGUACUCGAUUCCGGAGACGGUCUUGGGUAAGGGGUGUUACAUUUAGUGGUAUCAGAGCUACGGUUUAGUCGAUUCUCGGACUAACGUAGCGAGUGUAAUAGACUAUCUAUACAUGCCAUAAGUGAAUAAUGAUAGUGUGACGACUCCUGACAUCUUAAAAUGUUUUUUAUAGUAAUGGAUUCUAACCGAGAUACAGCUGAUGAUGCUCAAAGUAAUGUGCCUGUUGAAAGUCGAUUCGAGACUUAGGGUCAAGGAGAUGAGGCUCGAGAAGCUUUUCUCCAAAUGAUGAACAAUUGGUACACUGAGUUUGUUAGAACUAAUCCUAAUGCUCAACCUCCUCCGCCCCCUCCUAUUCCUCAAGCUGUUCCCAUAGCUCCUCAACAAACUGAAGUGAUAAAAUUGUCAAAGCCUCUAGUGGACAAAAUUCGAAAGUAUGGAGCCGAAGAGUUCCGAGCUAAUGUAAAUGAUGAUCCUGAAAGAGCAGAGUUCUGGCUUGAUAAUACUAUCAGAGUGUUAGAUGAAUUAUCUUGUACUCCAGAAGAAAGUCUCAAAUGUGCUAUCUCAUUGCUGAGGGAUUCGGCUUAUAAUUGGUGGAAAACUUUAGUGUCAGUGGUGCCUAAAGAGAAAGUUACAUGGGACUUCUUUCAAGAAGAAUUCCGGAAGAAGUAUGUGAGUCAGCGUUUCAUUGAUCAAAAGAGAAAAGAGUUUCUUGAAUUGAAACAAGGGCGCAUGACGGUAGCCGAAUAUGAGCGAGAAUUUGUCAAAUUAAGCAAGUAUGCCCAAGAGUGUGUAUCUAAUGAAGCUACAUUGUGUAAAAGGUUUGAAGAUGGAUUAAACGAGGAUAUCCGAUUGCUAGUGGGAAUUCUUGAAAUUAAAGAGUUAGUGGUACUAGUUGAAAGAGCUAUCAAGGCUGAAAAAUUGAGCAAAGAGAAAAGAAAGGUGGAAAGUGAAGCAAGAGAUGAAAGAAAAAGAUCAAUGAGCAAGCCAUUUCAGUCUCAAGCGAAGAAGUUUAAAGAAAUGAAUACUCGAUCGAAUGUUUCUAGUGUGAAUUUUCAAAGAGAUCGAGGAAGACAAUAUUCAGGUUCUAAAGCUCAGGCAACUUCUAUGGCAAGUACAGGUAGUGUUAAACCUACUAGACCGGAAUGUCAAUAUUGUGGAAAACGACAUUUGGGGGAAUGUUAUUUAAUCAGCCGAGCUUGUUUUAAAUGUGGAUCUCAAGAUCAUUUUAUGAAAGAUUGUCCGGAAAGAGAAGAGAUAUAAAAGUUUCAGAAUGUGAGAUCGAGCAGUGUGACUACUAGAGGAAGACCACAGAGAAAUGUGGGGAUUGGAACUAGUGGUAGAGGCGUAACAAAAGACACGACUGUAAGAUCUGAAGUGGGAGCUCCAGCAAGAGCUUAUGCCAUCCGAGCUAGAGAGGAAGCAUCUUCUCCUGAUGUGAUCACUGAGUUAAAAGCUAGACCAUUGUUUCUUCAAGAAAUUUGUGAGGCUCAGAAAGUGGAUAAUGAAUUGCAAAGAAGAAAGACUCAGUGUGUAGUGGACAAUAAUUCUGAAUUUCAGAUUGAUUCAGAUGGAUGUUUAAUGUUUCGUGAUAGAAUAUGUGUUCCGAAAAAUGUUGAUUUAAUUCAGAAAAUUUUGCAAGAAGCACAUGAUAGUCAUUUGGCAGUUCACCCCGGUAGUGUAAAAAUGUACAAUGAUUUGAAGAAAUUUUAUUGGUGGUCGGGUAUGAAACGGGAUAUCUCCGAGUAUGUGACAAAGUGUUUAGUGUGCCAACAAGUAAAAGCUGAACACCAAGUACCUUCAGGAUUACUUCAACCUAUUAUGGUGCCCGAGUGGAAAUGGGAUAGAAUUACUAUGGAUUUUGUUUCUGGAUUGCCAUUGUCACCGAAAAAGAAAGACUCAAUUUGGGUUAUAGUUGAUCGAUUGACUAAGUCGGCUCAUUUCAUUCCUGUGCGAAUGAGUUUUUCACUUGACAAGUUAGCUGAAUUGUAUAUUGCUGAGAUAGUCCGAUUACAUGGUGUACCUAUGUCUAUUAUAUCUGAUAGAGAUCCACGAUUUACUUCAAGGUUUUGGAAGAAAUUACAAGAGGCAUUGGGUACUAAAUUGAAUUUUAGUACAGCAUUCCAUCCCCAAACCAAUGGACAGUCUGAAAGAGUAAUUCAAAUACUCGAAGACAUGUUGAGAUGUUGUGUAUUGGAAUUUGAAGGUAAUUGGGAAAGAUAUUUACCUUUGGUGGAAUUUGCUUAUAAUAAUAGUUAUCAGUCAAGCAUAAAAAUGGCACCUUAUGAAGCGUUGUAUGGACGAAAGUGUCGGACUCCAUUAUAUUGGACUGAACUUAAUGAAAAUCAGUUACAUGGAGUCGAUUUGGUAAAAGAAACCGAAGAAAAAGUGAAGAUAAUCCGUGAUUGUUUGAAAGCUGCAUCGGAUCGACAGAAGUCGUAUGCGGACUUGAAAAGAAAAGAGAUUGAGUUUCAAGUGGGAGAUAAAGUAUUUUUGAAAGUGUCUCCAUGGAAGAAAAUUUUGAGAUUUGGCCGUAAAGGCAAAUUAAGUCCAAGAUUUAUUGGUCCGUAUGAAGUGAUAGAAAGAAUUGGUCCAGUGGCUUAUCGAUUGUCUUUACCACCGGAAUUGGAAAGAAUUCAUAAUGUGUUUCAUGUUUCUAUGUUGAGGCGAUAUCGAUCGGACCCAUCACAUGUGAUUUCAUCGACUGAAGUGGAAAUUCGAUCGGAUAUGACAUACGAAGAAGAACCGAUUCGAAUCUUGGCACGAGAAGUGAAACAGUUGAGAAACAAAGAAAUUGCUUUAGUGAAAGUGUUAUGGCAACGACAUGGGGUGGAAGAGGCAACAUGGGAAACCGAUGAGGCUAUGAGGAAACAGUAUCCCAACUUAUUCACUGGUAAGAUUUUCGGGGACGAAAAUCCCUAAGGGGGGGAGAAUUGUGAUAGCCCGAAAUAGGGCCUAAUCGGAAUAGUGGUUUCGUAACCACAAAUCCGAAGUGAAAUAGUUUAAUUUUAUAAAUUUUUAUUAGUUACUGAUUGAUUGAAAUAUUGUGUGAAAAUAUGGAUAGGAAAUUUUAAUGCUUUAGUGCUUAAUUGAAUUUUUAGGACUAAAUUGAGAAAAAUGCAAAGUGUGUCUAAUUAGUGAUUAAAUGACUUAAUUGAAUUAUUGCAUGAAAUUGGAAGUGUUUAUGUGGAAUUAGACCAUAAAUUAGUGUUAUGGACACAAAAGGGUAUUUCUAGAAAAAUAUCUAAGUAAUGGGUCAAGGGCAUUUUUGUCCAAAUUGGGUAAAAGACAAAAUAAAGAGAAAAUAAGUGUCCAUCUUCUUCAAAAAAAUCAGAAGCUUGCUGCCGAAAGUUUCAGGUUACCAUAGUUAAGGGUUUUGAUUUUCCUAAGCUCAAUUGUAAGUGAUUUCUUGCCCCGUUUUUAAUUAUUUUCGUAUUUUUAUGCUUAUUGAAGCUUGAAUUUCAUGUUUAUACUAUUUAAUUUAAAUGAAAUUAAAGUUUAAAAAUUGACCCAUUCAUGAUAUAAUUGUAAAUUGAUUAGUGAUGUUAGAUAAUGAAUGUUUAAAGUGUUAAUUACAAGUUUUACUAGAUGAAUUUCAAUGAAAAAUGUUGAAAAAGGGCUAAAUUGUGAAAGAUGGUAAAGUGUGCAUAAAGUUGUGAUUUUGUGAAAUUGAGGCCCGUUAUGAGCAUGAAAUAUGAUUUAGUGAAGUUUGAAAUUUAAGAAUUUAGAGAAUUUUAUUUUUACGAGCUUAGGGACAAAAGUGGAAUUUUUGAAAAGUUAUGGGGAAAAAUGUAAAUGUGUCAAAAUGUUGUGUAUGAAUUGUAUUUGAAUGGAAUAUUGAUAAAAUGUAUUAAAUUGUGUUAAUAUAGAUCAAGAAAGAAGAAAUAGUGCAAGUGAUCGGGGAAAAGAGAAAGUUAUCGACUAAAUUACAAAAAUAGUCGUUUUGCAUCCGAGGUAAGUUAUAUGUAAAUAAUAGUUAUAUUUGUAUAAAUUGUGAAUUAUAUUUGAUAUGUGAAUUAAUAUUGAAUGUGGAAGGAAAGUUGUUCAUGAAUUAUUCAAGUGAUAAAGUGUUGAAAAUAAAGUGUUAAGUGUAAAUUCCCGGUUGAACAUGAAAGUUGUUCAUGAAUUAUUCAAGUGAUAAAGUGUUGAAAAUAAAGUGUUAAGUGUAAAUUCCCGGUUGAACUUAGGAAUAGAAUUGGAUACAAGUGACAUGUCACUAGAGACCAGUGUUACAGUGUUACAGUGAGUCCCGGGUGCUGGGUGAUCUAGCAUGUGUUGCAGACACCUGACAGCUUGUGUGAGCAGACCCGUGGACAUUUCCAGUCUUAUUGAUCAGUGGUAGCUUCGGCUACAUUUCAGUGGUAGCUUUGGCUACAUCCAGUGGUAGCUUCGGCUACAUAUUAGUGGUAGCUUCGGCUACAUAUCAGUGUGGCACUUAUGUGCUAAAUCUCUACGUAUCCGUGUAUAUUCCAAGUGUUCAACGGGAUUCAUAAUGAAUUAAAGUGAAUAUGAAAUGUUAAGUGUGAAAAUGUAUAUGCAAGUGAAUUGGUAAGAUUGUGUAUGUGUAAGUGAUUGAAAUUGCUAAGAAAUGUUUUGAUUAGUUAUAUGUUAAAAGUGUUAAUUAUUAAUUGAGUAAUUAUUGUUUACAUGUAACUUACUAAGCUAUUUAUAGCUUACACAUCUCUUUCUUUCCUUUGUUUUAUAGUGAUUUGAACUUGAUCGAAUAGUGGACCGUCGGAGCUCGUAUCACACUAUCAUAACCAUCUCGGUAUUAUGUGCUUUUCAAAAUGUUUAAACUAUGGCAUGUAUAGAGUCUUAAUCAUUUUGAGCAUGUCCAAAUGAUAUGGCUAAUGUUAGCUAUUGAAGUAGUUAUUAAAGAAUAUGUUUUGGAGUUAUGUAUGUUUAAAUGGUAACUAAUUCAAAGAAGCAG
rnacentral:lncRNA from 1 species